UUGCUACAAAACAUAUUACGAAAAAUAGUUGAUUUGGUAUUCUCCAUUUCUUCAUAUCCCUUUUUUCGGAGACGCUACCAACCAUGGUGUUGGCUCAUCUUUUCAAAAAGUUGGGCCAUAUCAUAGCGUCCAUAAUCACGGAAAAGAAUCCUGCCACCUGGCUUCAAAUACUAAGAUAUACGAAAAAAUGCACAUUUAACAAAUAAUUCAUCAAAUCAGUCUUGGUCAGCCGACAAACUUCUUUUUAAGCAUUAUACAGAUGUUUAGCCUUCUCUGUUAAUCAUCAAAGAGACUUUGCAUUUAAUUUUUUAAACUGACUUACUUGUCAG